CAGUCGCCGCGGGAAUACGUAGGUCCCGAGCGUUGUCCGGAUUUAUUGGGCGUAAAGCGAGCGCAGGCGGUUAGAUAAGUCUGAAGUUAAAGGCUGUGGCUUAACCAUAGUACGCUUUGGAAACUGUUUAACUUGAGUGCAAGAGGGGAGAGUGGAAUUCCAUGUGUAGCGGUGAAAUGCGUAGAUAUUCGGAGGAACACCAGUGGCGAAGGCGGCUCACUGGUCCAUUACUGACGCUGAGGUGCGAAAGCGUGGGGAGCGAACAGGAUUAGAUACCCCGGUAGUCCCUGUCUCUUAUACA
rnacentral:rRNA from 1 species